rnacentral:tRNA from 1 species
CCAACGGAUAGGUUGCUGAGGGUCAAGACGGACAGACUUAAAAUCCGCCAAGUGUCGGUUCGAGUCCGACUGGGGGC